GAGAACAUGAAUCUUAUAAAUUAUGAAUUGAUAAACUCAUAUUCUACUUUAUAAAAAAAAAAAUGGUUGAAAUUGUCAAAUUUAUUUAUGCUUUAAUUAUUUUUAUUUUUUUGGCUGCAAUCAACGUUGAAGGUAUUAGAUGUAUUCAAGAUUCUGAUUGUCCACAUAAUUUUUGCCCUACUCAUUAUACACCAAAGUGUAUCAUCGGCCGAUGUAAUUGUGUUUAAAAAAUAAUGAAUUAUUAUGAUGGAUAAGUUUUUUAUAAAAAAAUGUUACUGA